AGAGUUUGAUCAUGGCUCAGGACGAACGCUGGCGGCGUGCUUAACACAUGCAAGUCGAGCGGAAAGGCCCUUUCGGGGGUACUCGAGCGGCGAACGGGUGAGUAACACGUGAGUAACCUGCCCUUGGCUUUGGGAUAACCCUCGGAAACGGGGGCUAAUACCGAAUAUUCACUUUCUCUCGCAUGGGGGUUGGUGGAAAGAUUUUUUGGCUGGGGAUGGGCUCGCGGCCUAUCAGCUUGUUGGUGGGGUGAUGGCCUACCAAGGCGACGACGGGUAGCCGGCCUGAGAGGGCGACCGGCCACACUGGGACUGAGACACGGCCCAGACUCCUACGGGAGGCAGCAGUGGGGAAUAUUGCACAAUGGGCGCAAGCCUGAUGCAGCGACGCCGCGUGAGGGAUGACGGCCUUCGGGUUGUAAACCUCUUUCAGCAGGGACGAAGCGGAAGUGACGGUACCUGCAGAAGAAGCGCCGGCCAACUACGUGCCAGCAGCCGCGGUAAGACGUAGGGCGCGAGCGUUGUCCGGAUUUAUUGGGCGUAAAGAGCUCGUAGGCGGCUUGUUGCGUCGGCUGUGAAAACCCAUGGCUCAACCGUGGGCUUGCAGCCGAUACGGGCAGGCUAGAGUUCGGUAGGGGAGACUGGAAUUCCUGGUGUAGCGGUGAAAUGCGCAGAUAUCAGGAGGAACACCGGUGGCGAAGGCGGGUCUCUGGGCCGAUACUGACGCUGAGGAGCGAAAGCGUGGGGAGCGAACAGGAUUAGAUACCCUAGUAGUCC
rnacentral:rRNA from 1 species